rnacentral:rRNA from 1 species
UACAGAGGUCCCGAGCGUUUGUUCGGAUUCACUGGGCGUAAAGGGUGCGCAGGUGGUUUGGCAAGUUUGAUGUGAAAGCCCCGGGCUUAACCCGGGAAUGGCAUUGAAUACUGCUGGACUGGAGGAUCGGAGGGGGGGACUGGAAUUCUUGGUGUAGCAGUGAAAUGCGUAGAUAUCAAGAGGAACACCAGUGGCGAAGGCGAGUCCCUGGACGAUACCUGACACUGAGGCACGAAAGCUAGGGGAGCAAACAGG